UGAAAGGAGAGGAGGUGUGGCCAGCGUUGGGACAGAACGGACACGAACCCCGAGAGCUCCAGGCGAGGAGGACCACAGCCAUCACCAGCUGCCUGAAGUCGGGACGGCCACAAGAACGGGCAGGAGGAUAAAGCAUAAGUACUGCACAAGAUAUUGAAGCCGGGACUGAAAAGAGGCAACAAAUUGAAACAAAGAGAAAAAAGGUGCGGCUCGAAAAUGAAUACUUCGUUAAUUGUGGAUUGUAACUAUAGACUAAAGACUGACACCUAAAGGCAAAAGAAGAAAUGCAGGAAGGAAAUGUCUUUGUGAUUUCAGGACAAUUUUAAAGGGGGAUUUUUGUAACCAGAUGGUUGACCUUUAAGAUUCAUAACAUCAAAGAAUAAAGUAGAAAACAAUGGACAAUAAGAAGUAUACAACUGUCAUUUAAGCAAGAAAUAUAAGAAAUGAUUACAGAACUGGAAUAUUAAAGCUAAGAGCUGCAUGCAGCAAUGAUAGAGAAGAAUAUAAAAAGCAUGAUAUAAUAAUGUAAAACUAAAAUUUAUGUUAAAAAUUAGAGGAUUAUAAAAAUGUUGAGAAGGGGAGUAAUAAGGAAUUUAAUAAGUUAAGAAAAUAUGCAGGUUUUAAGCAUAUGUAGUGAAAUUGAAAUAAUUUGAGAUAAAACUUCCAGUAGAAUAUUUGAAUAUAACUAUGGAAUUAUAUGAGAAAUGGGAUAUGUUUGCUCCUUUUCAUUUUGUUCUUUUUAUCUUGUUUAUUAUUUUAAUUUUUUUCUUAUUUGGAAUGGGAUUAUGAAAUAUAAGUGAUGGGAGACCUUUUUGAAAUUAAGGUGAGAUUAAAUGUAGGAGAUAAUUUUAUAGAGAUUACCUUGUUUCUUUUUUUGUUACUCGUCUGUCUUUGAUAACAUUAGGGAUAAGUAUGGUUGUAUUUUGUUAGUGAAGAAGGGAGGGGCAAGAAAGGAGGCAAAAAUGUGGGAACUAGAUUUGAUUCAAUACCAUUCAGGAUAAAGGGGUGGAACAGAUGUUUUGAUAGAAAUGUGCAAAUAAUAAAAUUUUAAGAGGGGAAGGGAAAAAUAUUGGAUAAACAAUACAAUGAGGGG